rnacentral:rRNA from 1 species
UGGGGAAUUUUGGACAAUGGGCGAAAGCCUGAUCCAGCAAUGCCGCGUGUGUGAAGAAGGCCUUCGGGUUGUAAAGCACUUUUGUCCGGAAAGAAAUCCUUGGCUCUAAUACAGUCGGGGGAUGACGGUACCGGAAGAAUAAGCACCGGCUAACUACGUGCCAGCAGCCGCGGUAAUACGUAGGGUGCAAGCGUUAAUCGGAAUUACUGGGCGUAAAGCGUGCGCAGGCGGUUUGCUAAGACCGAUGUGAAAUCCCCGGGCUCAACCUGGGAACUGCAUUGGUGACUGGCAGGCUAGAGCAUGGCAGAGGGGGGUAGAAUUCCACGUGUAGCAGUGAAAUGCGUAGAGAUGUGGAGGAAUACCGAUGGCGAAGGCAGCCCCUGGGCCCAAUACUGACGCUC